rnacentral:rRNA from 1 species
UACGGGGGGGGCAAGCGUUGUCCGGAAUCAUUGGGCGUAAAGAGCGUGUAGGCGGCCCGGUAAGUCCGCUGUAAAAGUCAAAGGCUCAACCUUUGAAUGUCAAUGGAUACUGCCGGGCUAGAGUCCGGAAGAGGCGAGUGGAACUCCUGGUGUAGCGGUGAAAUGCGCAGAUAUCGGGAGGAACACCUAUGGCGAAGGCAGCUCGCUGGGACGUUACUGACGCUGAGACGCGAAAGCGUGGGGAGCAAACAGG